UACGAAGGGGCUAGCGUUGUUCGGAAUUACUGGGCGUAAAGCGCACGUAGGCGGAUCGAUCAGUCAGGGGUGAAAUCCCAGAGCUCAACUCUGGAACUGCCUUUGAUACUGUCGAUCUGGAGUAUGGAAGAGGUGAGUGGAAUUCCGAGUGUAGAGGUGAAAUUCGUAGAUAUUCGGAGGAACACCAGUGGCGAAGGCGGCUCACUGGUCCAUUACUGACGCUGAACAGCGAAAGCCAGGGGAGGCAAACGGG
rnacentral:rRNA from 1 species